GUGCCAGCCGCCGCGGUAAAACGUAGGGGACAAGCGUUAUCCGGAUUUACUGGGCGUAAAGCGCAUGUAGGUGGCUUGACAAGUUGGACGUGAAAGCUCCCGGCUUAACUGGGAGAGGUCGUUCAAAACUGGCAGGCUAGAGGUUGGAAGAGGAGAGCGGAAUUCCCGGUGUAGUGGUGGAAUGCGUAGAUAUCGGGAGGAACACCAGUGGCGAAAGCGGCUCUCUGGUUCAAUACUGACACUGAGAUGCGAAAGCGUGGGGAGCGAACGGGAUUAGAUACCCCCGUAGUCC
rnacentral:rRNA from 1 species